GAUAAACGCUGGCGGCGCACAUAAGACAUGCAAGUCGAACGGACUUAACUCAUUCUUUUAGAUUGAGAGCGGUUAGUGGCGGACUGGUGAGUAACACGUAAGCAACCUGCCUAUUAGAGGGGAAUAACAGUGAGAAAUCAUUGCUAAUACCGCAUAUGCUAACAGUAUCGCAUGAUACAGUUAGGAAAGGAGCAAUCCGCUAAUAGAUGGGCUUGCGUCUGAUUAGCUGGUUGGCGGGGUAACGGGCCCACCAAGGCGACGAUCAGUAGCCGGACUGAGAGGUUGAACGGCCACAUUGGGGACUGGAGACACGGCCCAA
rnacentral:rRNA from 1 species